rnacentral:tRNA from 1 species
GGCCUAGUAGCUCAAUUGGAUAGAGCACUACAUUACGGCUGUAGAGGUUUGGGGUUCGACUCCCUACUAGGUCA